rnacentral:rRNA from 1 species
AGAGUUUGAUCCUGGCUCAGGACGAACGCUGGCGGCGUGCUUAACACAUGCAAGUCGAACGGAAAGGCCCUGCUUUUGUGGGGUGCUCGAGUGGCGAACGGGUGAGUAACACGUGAGUAACCUGCCCUUGACUUUGGGAUAACUUCAGGAAACUGGGGCUAAUACCGGAUAGGAGCUCCUGCUGCAUGGUGGGGGUUGGAAAGUUUCGGCGGUUGGGGAUGGACUCGCGGCUUAUCAGCUUGUUGGUGGGGUAGUGGCUUACCAAGGCUUUGACGGGUAGCCGGCCUGAGAGGGUGACCGGCCACAUUGGGACUGAGAUACGGCCCAGACUCCUACGGGAGGCAGCAGUGGGGAAUAUUGCACAAUGGGCGGAAGCCUGAUGCAGCAACGCCGCGUGCGGGAUGACGGCCUUCGGGUUGUAAACCGCUUUCGCCUGUGACGAAGCGUGAGUGACGGUAAUGGGUAAAGAAGCACCGGCUAACUACGUGCCAGCAGCCGCGGUGAUACGUAGGGUGCGAGCGUUGUCCGGAUUUAUUGGGCGUAAAGGGCUCGUAGGUGGUUGAUCGCGUCGGAAGUGUAAUCUUGGGGCUUAACCCUGAGCGUGCUUUCGAUACGGGUUGACUUGAGGAAGGUAGGGGAGAAUGGAAUUCCUGGUGGAGCGGUGGAAUGCGCAGAUAUCAGGAGGAACACCAGUGGCGAAGGCGGUUCUCUGGGCCUUUCCUGACGCUGAGGAGCGAAAGCGUGGGGAGCGAACAGGCUUAGAUACCCUGGUAGUCCACGCUGUAAACGGUGGGUACUAGGUGUGGGGUCCAUUCCACGGGUUCCGUGCCGUAGCUAACGCUUUAAGUACCCCGCCUGGGGAGUACGGCCGCAAGGCUAAAACUCAAAGGAAUUGACGGGGCCCCGCACAAGCGGCGGAGCAUGCGGAUUAAUUCGAUGCAACGCGUAGAACCUUACCUGGGUUUGACAUGGAUCGGGAGUGCUCAGAGAUGGGUGUGCCUCUUUUGGGGUCGGUUCACAGGUGGUGCAUGGCUGUCGUCAGCUCGUGUCGUGAGAUGUUGGGUUAAGUCCCGCAACGAGCGCAACCCUCGUUUUUAGUUGCCAAUUUAUUGGGUUUUCUAGAGAGACUGCCGGUGACAAACCGGAGGAAGGUGAGGAUGACGUCAAGUCAGCAUGCCCCUUAUGUCCUGGGCCACACACGUGCUACAAUGGCGGAGACAAAGAGUCGCAAACCUGCGAAGGCUAGCUAAUCUCAUAAACUUCGUCUAAGUUCGGAUUGUAGGCUGCAACUCGCCUACAUGAAGUUGGAAUCGCUAGUAAUCGCUGGUCAGCUAUACAGCGGUGAAUUCGUUCCCGGGCCUUGUACACACCGCCCGUCACACCAUGGGAGCUGGUCAUACCCAAUACCGUUAGUCUAACCAUUCGGAGGACAGCGCUUAAGGUAGGGCUAGUGACUGGGGUGAAGUCGGAACAAGGUAGCCGUACUGG